AGAGUUUGAUUCUGGCUCAGAACGAACGCUGGCAGCGUGGAUUAGGCAUGCAAGUCGAACGAGAAGCCCUGGUCUCAAUCUUCGGAGAGAAACCAGGGUGGACAGUGGCGGAAGGGUGAGUAACGCGUGGGCAAUUUGCCUCCGGAUUGGGGACAACUCCGCGAAAGCGGGGCUAAUACCGAAUAUGGUCUCCUGUCGCAUGACGGGAAGAUUAAAGAUGGGGAUUCUUCGGAACCUGUCGUCUGGAGAGGAGCCCGCGUACGAUCAGCUUGUUGGUGAGGUAACGGCUCACCAAGGCUUUGACCGUUAGCCGGCCUGAGAGGGUGAUCGGCCACACUGGGACUGAGACACUGCCCAGACUCCUACGGGAGGCUGCAGUCGAGGAUCAUUCGCAAUGCGCGAAAGCGUGACGAUGCGACGCUGCGUGUAGGAUGACGGCCUUCGGGUUGUAAACUACUGUCAUGAGGGAAAAACCAGCGAUGGGACAAUACCCCAUCGCUCUGAUGGUACCUCAAGAGGAAGCCACGGCUAACUCCGUGCCAGCAGCCGCGGUAAUACAGAGGUGGCUAGCGUUGUUCGGAUUUACUGGGCGUAAAGCGUGCGUAGGCGGUUCCGUGUGUCGGGUGUGAAAUCCCACGGCUUACCCGUGGAAUGGCACCCGAAACUGCGGGGCUAGAGUGCAGGAGGGGAGAGCGGAAUUCUUAGUGUAGCGGUGAAAUGCGUUGAUAUUAAGAAGAACACCGGCGGCGAAGGCGGCUCUCUGGAAUAUAACUGACGCUGAGGCACGAAAGUUGGGGGAGCAAACAGGAUUAGAUACCCUGGUAGUCCCAACCGUAAACGGUGUGAACUUGGUGUAGGGGGGUAUUGACCCCCCCUGUGCCGGAGCUAACGCGUUAAGUUCACCGCCUGGGGAGUACGGCCGCAAGGCUAAAACUCAAAGAAAUUGACGGGGGCCCGCACAAGCGGAGGAGCAUGUGGCUUAAUUCGAUGCAACGCGAAGAACCUUACCUGGGCUUGACAUGGGGACCCUUCGGGGGUGGUAGCGAAAGUUACCUUUACCAUCACAGGUGCUGCAUGGCUGUCGUCAGUUCGUGCCGUGAGGUGUUUGGUUAAGUCCAGCAACGAACGCAACCCUUGUGACUAGUUACCAGCGUCGGUGAUGAGCCGGCAGGCACUCUAGUCAGACUGCCCGUACAAGCGGGAGGAAGGUGGGGAUGACGUCAAGUCAGUAUGGCCCUUACGCCCAGGGCUGCACACGUGCUACAAUGGUCAGUACAGAAGGAUGCAAAACCGCAAGGUCGAGCAAAUCCCCAAAGCUGGCCCCAGUUCGGAUUGGAGUCUGCAACUCGACUCCAUGAAGUCGGAUUCGCUAGUAACGGCGUAUCAGCUACGACGCCGUGAAUACGUUCCCGGGCCUUGUACACACCGCCCGUCACAUCAUGAAAGCCGUCUGCACCCGAAGUCGCUGAGCCAACCCGCAAGGGAGGCAAGUGCCGAAGGUGUGGGUGGUGAUUGGGAU
rnacentral:rRNA from 1 species